rnacentral:rRNA from 1 species
UGAAACGGGUUGUAGCUGGCCUAAAAAAAUAAAGGCAUGUGCACACCCUGCUCAUCCACUCUCAUACCCCUGUGCACUUAUUGUAGGCUCGGUCGGACGAGUCUGACUUCGGUUGGACUUUGAAAGCCUUGCCUACGUUUUAUUACAAACGCUUCAGUUAAAGAAUGUAACCUCGCGUUUAACGCAUUUAAAUACAACUUUCAGCAACGGAUCUCUUGGCUCUCGCAUCGAUGAAGAACGCAGCGAAAUGCGAUAAGUAAUGUGAAUUGCAGAAUUCAGUGAAUCAUCGAAUCUUUGAACGCACCUUGCGCUCCUUGGUAUUCCGAGGAGCAUGCCUGUUUGAGUGUCAUGGUAUUCUCAACCUUCAAAACUUUUGUGAUGAAGGCUUGGAUUUGGAGGUCGUGUCGGCGCGAGUCGACUCCUCUGAAAUGCAUUAGCGUGAAUCUUACGGAUCGCCUUCAGUGUGAUAAUUGUCUACGCUGUGGUGUUGAAGUAUUUGAGUGUUCGUGCUUACAAUCGUCCGCGAGGACAAUGUUACUUGACAAUCUGACCUCAAAUCAGGUAGGACUACCCGCUGAACUUAAGCAUAUCAAUAAGCGGAGGAAAAGAAACUAACAAGGAUUCCCCUAGUAACUGCGAGUGAAGCGGGAAAAGCUCAAAUUUAAAAUCUGGCAGUCUUUGGCUGUCCGAAUUGUAGUCUGGAGAAGCGUUUUCCGCGCUGGACCGUGUACAAGUCUCUUGGAACAGAGCGUCAUAGAGGGUGAGAAUCCCGUCUUUGACACGGACUACCAGUGCUUUGUGAUGCGCUCUCGAAGAGUCGAGUUGUUUGGGAAUGCAGCUCAAAAUGGGUGGUAAAUUCCAUCUAAAGCUAAAUAUUGGCGAGAGACCGAUAGCGAACAAGUACCGUGAGGGAAAGAUGAAAAGCACUUUGGAAAGAGAGUUAAACAGUACGUGAAAUUGCUGAAAGGGAAACGCUUGAAGUCAGUCGCGUCGUCCAGAACUCAACCUGGCUUUUGCUUGGUGCACUUUCUGGUUGACGGGCCAGCAUCAGUUUUGACUGCCGGAAAAAAGCCUUUGGAAUGUGGCACCUCCGGGUGUGUUAUAGCCUUGGGUUGUAUACGGUGGUUGGGACUGAGGACCGCAGCACGCCUCU